rnacentral:misc_RNA from 1 species
AACGAAUUGAGAGUGCAGGAGGACAUCAGCUCCAGCACGUGCAGGGCAGCACAGGUGACGGUGCCUUCAUGCUUCGUGGGAAGAGGCAUUGGGGCAACGAAUGGAGGAGCAGGCGAGGAGGUGCACACAUGGCAGAGGUGGCCCCGGAGGUUCCAAGGUGAUGCAGCUCUCCAGCCUCCCUCCACUCCGAGCAAAGCGAAAAGUGGUGCCAAAGCUUGUGUUUUUUUGCCUCCAAAGGAGCAGAGAAGGUGGCGGGGGCUUGUAAAAUGUGGCACAAUGAGCAUGAGGUGCUUUGCCCUUCGAUUUGAUAUGGACGACCAAGAUUGUGAGACUGCUACAGUUGCAGUCUCUAGCUACUGCACC